UCUGACCAAACUUAUCUUUUCUUCCCUCACAUUCCCCCACCGUAGCUGUGUCUUCUCCUUGUCUUUGAAGUGUGGAAGGGAGAAGCAAGGAGCUCUCCUGAACUGGCCGUGAGGUUCUCCAGGAUGUAAUUGAGGCAAGGAUCAUGGUUCAAACCAUUAAAGGAUGUGGCAGGAAAACUUGCAGGUAUUGUAAGUAAUCCACCGUACAUACAGAGUGACAAUAUCUCUGGGCUACAAGCUGAGGUUGGUAGACAUGAACCAAGACUUGCAUUAGAUGGUGGUCUUAAUGGCAUGGGUGUUCUUCUCCAUCUUUGCAAUGGGGCUGCUUUGAUGUUAAAACCUGCUGGAUUUUUCAUUUUUGAGCCACAUUUGAGGCAUUAAGAGAUAAAGGCUGAAGUGGUGGACUGGUGGAAGCUCAUGUGGUUCAACCUUACCAUACCAAAGCAUGCUCUCAUUGGCUGACUGGUGAUCAAGAAUAAAUUAACCACUAGAGAGUGACAUUCUGUGUGCUAUGCAGGGGUUGUGUUGAAAGCAGGAGCCAUCUUUCUGGACACAUGUUUAUGGGGAUGGGCUGUUAGGAUCCUCUAAGGGAAGGGACCUAGAGCAUCCAUAUGUAAGAUUGGAUGGUAGGUGCCUAUAUAUUAUAUUUGGUGCCAGAGGAAUGCUAAUAUCCACUAUGGCCCAAUCUUGACUAAGGAGAAAAUCCUCAAAAAUAAAGAAAGAUGUUAGAGGCAGGCUUGAGUUCAAAGCAAAAUUCCCUAAUUCCACUCUAAACAAGAUUCUUUGCUGACAUUGGGGCUUAAACAAAUCUAUUUUGAUCUCCAUAGCUCAAUGAUCUGUAAUUGCUACAGUAAAUUGUUGAAUUUUUUUGGAAUUUGAGUUAUAAUGGAGCUGCUUGUUGGAUAAAUGGAAAACGGCAAAGAUUCUGAUUGUGUUUGUUGUAGUAGGAUGCAGUACUUACUAAGGCUGAUUGUAUUGCAUUAUAUUUAUUGGCUUUGCUUGGGUUGUGAGUUUCAUUUGAGCUGUUUACUGAA